CCCAGAGCUCAGAAUAUGAACUUUGAGGACGUGGCCAUUGUCUUCUCUGAGGAGGAGUGGGGGCUCCUUGAUGAGGCUCAGAAACUUCUGUACUUCAAUGUGAUGCUGGAAGUGUUUGCACUUGUCUCAUCUGCAGGUUGUUGGCAUAACACAGAUGAUGAGGAGACCUGUUCUGAGCAGAGCGUAUCUGUACAAGGAGAGUCACAGGUCAGG